rnacentral:rRNA from 1 species
CAAGUCGAACGAGAUCUUCGGAUCUAGUGGCGAACGGCGGAGUAAUACAUGAGCAACGUGCCCUUAUGCCUGGGAUAUACAGAGGAAACUCUGGGCAAUACCGGAUGUGGCUAUCUUUCGGCAUCGAGAGAUAACUAAACGGAUUUAUUCGCAUAGGGAGCGGCUCAUGACCCAUCAGGUAGUUGGUAGGGUAAUGGCCUACCAAGCCGACGACGGGUAGCGGGUCUGAGAGGAUGAUCCGCCCGAGUGGGACUGAGACACGGCCCACACACCUACGGGUGGCAGCAGUUGGGAAUCUUGCACAAUGAGGGAAACCUUGAUGCAGCGACGCCGCGUGGACGAUGAAGGGUUUAGGCCUGUAAAGUCCUUUUACCAGGAAAGACUUAGGACGGUACCUGGUGAAUAAGCUCCGGCUAACUACGUGCCAGCAGCCGCGGUAAUACGUAGGGAGCAAGCGUUGUCCGGAUUUACUGGGCGUAAAGGGCGCGUAGGCGGUCUGUUAAGUGUGGUGUGAAAUCUCCAGGGCUCAACCCGGAAACUGCACCGCAUACUGGCAGACUGGAGGAAGGUAGAGGUAAGUAGAAUUCCCGGUGUAACGGUGACAUGUGUAGAUAUCGGGAGGAAUACCAAUAGCGAAGGCAGCUUACUGGGCCUUUCCUGACGCUGAGGCGCGAAAGCGUGGGUAGCAAACAGAAUUAGAUACUCUGGUAGUCCACGCCCUAAACGAUGGAUACUAGGCGUCAAGGGUAUCGACCCCCUUGGUGCCGCAGCUAACGCAUUAAGUAUCCCGCCUGGGGAGUACGACCGCAAGGUUGAUGCUCAAAUGAAUUGACGG